GCUGCUGCUCACUCUGUCAAAUAUAUCUGAUUUUCGUUCUAUCUGUGUGGCAGUGCUCUUACUUGACGAAUUAACUUGACAUUAACUUGAUGAAUAGUUUAUUGUCAUUUUCUUACAUACCAACGUCAUUUUCUAAUGUUGAAUAAUUAUUCCAUUCAGGAUUAAAAUUAGAAUCUCAAAUUUAUCUCAUAUAAUAUCUCAUAUAGCUCGUACACAAAAAAAUUAUGUCGCAAUUUUGGUUCAGUUGUUAUCAGUGUAUCAAUGAUCAGUGCAAAUUACCAGACAAUAAAUUAACAAUUUGCAAGACUGCAUUUAACUGCUGGAAAUCUUCUCUUCGAGAAAUCGGUAACAAGAUACAACAUUCUCGUGGUUGUAUUUCUACACUGCACCAAAGUCAAGAUAUUUGCAAUAAUAUAACACAGGCAAGUCAUUAUGAGUAUGGUUAUAAUUGUUGUCAAGAGGAAUUGUGCAACGGUGGCGAUUUUCCUGAACUACUACGAUAUCGUUAUGCAGAUAAAUAUUUGUUCUGGUUGUUUUUUAUAUUCAAUGGAAUUUUAAUAGCACUCGGCGUAGCUGUUGCAUUCUACUUUAAUGUAGUUCUCAGAAUACGACGCAGAGGCGGAUUACAGCAAAGACCACCGAAUGUGGUAAGGAUAGUAGAUAGGGACGACAUAUGAAGGGCAUCAUUAGACCCAUUUAGAGAGACCCUUUUAAAGAGCACCUGAUGUUACCGUUCCGAUAUUACUCUAAACUAUCAAUGAUAGCAUAGCUCAAAUAAUUUCAUGAAAAACUUUCCAACAAUCAAAGUUUGACGAGCGAUUUAAACUUAGCUUUCACGAUAAUAUUCAAUAUUUAUAGACUUAUCGACAAUCCGACAUCGACAGCUUGAACUUCGUAUUUUGGAAGUAUCGCAUGUGCGUUGAAGACGUCGAUUCAAAAUAAGCUUCGUUUUCCCAGUGACUAGGUAUUGACGAACGAGAGCCGAUAACCGAUUGGAUGAAAAAUUGAUUGUCGUUAAUCGAGGGUCUGGAAUUCUUAAUAAUUGGCAUACGCAUCUGAUUUAUUGAAAAAGGCAAUCUUACUGUACUUCAAAUUUUUUUCAACGCUCAGCCAAAAAUGUACAUUUAAAAACGUGCUUUCGAAAACGAGCGCUUAAAAAUGAAGUUGUAUCGAAAAAUACUAUACGAUACAUGUUCAGGAAAAAGAUCUUGAUUUUGUAUAUCUAUCGUUUGUAAACGCCACACGAGACGAGAAUCUACUUUUCCGCUCUUGUAUCGUAAAAUAUUGUAACUUGGAUGACGUUUGAAUUUUCAGAUAAUGAAUUUAUUGGCAUCUCUGAUUUAAACUCCUUGGCAAGCGAACGCACCAGCCGUUGACCGAUUCGAUAAGUUAAGAAGACGCUUUCGGUACCUUCAAAGAAUUAAUCAUUCACUUUAAUUUCAUGAUGAUUUCACUGGAAAAACAUUCUUAUAAAAGUUUUUUUUGACUUGAAAUAUUUUUUGAAACAUAUUUCUUUUAUUUUUAAUAUUUUUUUGAUAAACUGGUGCUUUAUCACGUAGCUACAAUUUGAACUUUGUACAACUAUAAUAUAUAUUCCAGUUUAUCAUUUAAAUUAUCAUUAUCGUUAUUAUUAUUAUAUUAUUAUUGAAGAACGAAAAAUAUUCUGUAAAAAUCUGAAAAAAAUUAAGUUAUUUCCGAUAAAUGUUAGAAUUAGCCAAAUAGAAUUGUGGUGGAACGUGAAUGCAAGAGUAGGAUUAUUUUAGUGAUGGAAUCGCUUGUACAUACUAUAGUAAUAGUUAAUGUGCUAACUUUGCUACCUCGAAUUUAUUUGUCCGCUUUUUACAAUAAAUGUUCAAAGGUAAAAAUUGCAAAAAAUAUAAACGAAUAAUAUGCAUAGAAAUAACAUUGUUGAGUACAAAAUUUGCAAUACAAUACAGUGGUUUAAAACUGUAAAAUUCAAUUUGCCUCGGCAUCAGUGGUAGAAAACAAACACUUUGUUUCUGAAAAAUAGCUUAGUUUGCACUUAGCAUUUCAAUUGAUAAUAUCAACAGAUAUUACUGUUGUGUACUCUUUGAAAACUACUUUCUGUUAAAAACCGAACGAAGAAGAUAAUUAAUUCUAUAUUUCAUUUGGUUUCUGUACCACCGCAUUCAAAAUUAUAUGAUCUUUUGCAAUAACAUACAUGAUGGAAGAAAUCACCGACUCGUGCCUAAUGCUGUGAGGAUGCAACCACUGUAUAAUAUAAUGAAAUUGAUAAUUGUUAAAUACUAAAUGACCAAAUGAUUUUUUAAAAAUAUUUCUGAUCUAGACAUAGAUAACAAAUGGAAUAUAUCUGUGAUAUUAUGUUGUAAUAAAAAUUUGAAAACCUAUGUACAAUGCUGAAAAAUAACUCGCAGAAACAUGUCUUAUCUACGUCGAAAACGUACCAAAGAAAUCAUGGCAUAUGAGUCUUAAUACCUUCUUCUGAUCUAUAUGUUCUUGUAAAUAAAUUGUAUAAUCUUAUCCAUCGAACGAUAACUAAAAAAAUAUUUAUCUUGUAACUAAAAGAAAUAUUGAUAAUAUUUCAUUAGAUGCUUGCAUAAUUGAAGAUAUAUGAAUAAUGUUCAUAAGUUUUAUCGACGCACAAGGAAAUUUGACUGAUUUAAGUUUACGACUUACUUUACAUUUUCAAGUGAUAAUAAACUUCUAGCUGCAUCUGUUUUGCUCUUGUACCAUUGCACGAUUAAAAAUACACAUAUAUAAUUAACCAAAUAACAUGAUUUCAUAUUCACAUUGACUAUUUAU